rnacentral:rRNA from 1 species
CACGUAGGGGGCGAGCGUUGUCCGGAUUUAUUGGGCGUAAAGAGCUCGUAGGCGGUUAGACAAGUCUGAUGUGAAAGCCCACGGCUCAACCGUGGAGGGUCAUUGGAAACUGGGGAGCUUCAGUGCAGAAGAGGAGAGUGGAAUUCCACGUGUAGCGGUGAAAUGCGUAGAGAUGUGGAGGAACACCAGUGGCGAAAGCGGCUCUCUGGUCUGUAACUGACGCUGAGGCGCGAAAGCGUGGGGAGCAAACAGG